CGAAGGUUAUGCUGUCUCAAAAAUACCAGUAUAAAUUGGCCUUUAGGUGAAAAGACCUAAAUUCUAUUAGAGGACAAAAAGACCCCGUAGAGCUCUGUAUAUUAAUAAUUUUGUUCUUUUAUUUUAUAAAAUCUUUAAAUAUUAAUAAAAUAUACUUAGCUGGGGCGGCUAUGGAACAUAAAUCUUCCAUAAAACACUUAAGAUAAACCAAAUCUUUUAACAAAUAAAUGAUCCUUUUAAGAUCAAAGAAACAAGCUACCUCGGGGAUAACAGAUUAAUCCCUUUUGAGAGUCCACAUUGACAAAGGGCUUUGACACCUCGAUGUUGGCUUAGAAUUUCCCAAGGGUCAGCAACAGCCCUUAAAGGUAGGUUUGUUCAACCUUUAAUAUUCU
rnacentral:rRNA from 1 species